GACGAACGCUGGCGGCGUGCUUAACACAUGCAAGUCGAGCGAUGAAGUUUCUUCGGAAAUGGAUUAGCGGCGAACGGGUGAGGAACACGUGAAGAAUCUGCCCUCCACUUUGGGAUAACACAGGGAAACCUGUGCUAAUACCGAAUAUUGAAACAUAAGUGGCAUCACUGAGUUUUGAAAGAAUUUCGGUGGAGGAUGACUUCGCGGCCUAUCAGCUAGUUGGUGAGGUAAUGGCUCACCAAGGCAACGACGGGUAGCCGGCCUGAGAGGGCGACCGGCCACACUGGGACUGAGACACGGCCCAGACUCCUACGGGAGGCAGCAGUGGGGAAUAUUGGGCAAUGGAGGAAACUCUGACCCAGCGACGCCGCGUGCGGGAUGAAGGCCUUCGGGUUGUAAACCGCUUUCAGUAGGGAAGAAGCGAAAGUGACGGUACCUACAAAAGAAGCACCGGCUAACUAUGUGCCAGCAGCCGCCGUAA
rnacentral:rRNA from 1 species